UACGAAGGGGGCUAGCGUUGCUCGGAAUCACUGGGCGUAAAGCGCACGUAGGCGGAUCUUUAAGUCAGGGGUGAAAUCCUGGAGCUCAACUCCAGAACUGCCUUUGAUACUGAAGAUCUUGAGUUCGGGAGAGGUGAGUGGAACUGCGAGUGUAGAGGUGAAAUUCGUAGAUAUUCGCAAGAACACCAGUGGAAGGCGGCUCACUGGCCCGAUACUGACGCUGAGGCACGAAAGCGUGGGGAGCAAACAGG
rnacentral:rRNA from 1 species